rnacentral:rRNA from 1 species
UCGGGGUGAACUUGGCGCUGACGAGUGGCGAACGGGUGAGUAACACGUAGGAAUCUACCCAGGAGUCGGGGGGACAACCCGGAGAAAUCCCGGGGCUAAUACCGCAUACGCCCACGGGGUAAAUGGGGGACCUCUUCGGAGGCCUCACGCUUUUGGAUGAGCCUGCGUCGGAUUAGCUUGUUGGUGAGGUAACGGCUCACCAAGGCGACGAUCCGUAGCUGGUCUGAGAGGAUGACCAGUCACACUGGGACUGAGACACGGCCCAGACUCCUACGGGAGGCAGCAGUGGGGAAUAUUGGACAAUGGGGGCAACCCUGAUCCAGCCAUGCCGCGUGUGUGAAGAAGGCCCUAGGGUUGUAAAGCACUUUCAGUGGGGAAGAAAAGCCUAAGGAUAAUACCCUUGGGUCUUGACGGUACCUACAGAAGAAGCACCGGCUAAUUCCGUG